CCUACGGGGGGCAGCAGUGAGGAAUAUUGGUCAAUGGACGAGAGUCUGAACCAGCCAAGUAGCGUGAAGGAUGACUGCCCUAUGUGUUGUAAACUUCUUUUAUAUGGGAAUAAAAUGUUCCACGUGUGGGAUUUUGUAUGUACCAUAUGAAUAAGGAUCGGCUCACUCCGUGCCAGCAGCCGCGGUAAUACGGGGGAUGCAAGCGUUCUCCGGAUUUCUUGGGUUUAAAGGGUGCGUAGAUGGGUUGUUAAGUCAGUUGUGAAAGGUUGCGGCUCAACCGUAAAAUUGCAAUUGAUACUGGCAGCCUUGAGUACAGUUGAGGUAGGCGGAAUUCGUGGUGUAGCGGUGAAAUGCUGAGAUAUCACGAAGAACACCGAUUGCGAAGGCAGCUUACUAAACUGCCACUGACAUUGAUGCUCGAAAGUGUGGGUAUCAAACAGGAUUAGAUACCCGAGUAGUC
rnacentral:rRNA from 1 species